GACGAACGCUGGCGGCGUGCCUGAUACAUGCAAGUCGAACGCUUUUUCUUUCACCGGAGCUUGCUCCACCGAAAGAAAAAGAGUGGCGAACGGGUGAGUAACACGUGGGUAACCUGCCCAUCAGAAGGGGAUAACACUUGGAAACAGGUGCUAAUACCGUAUAACACUAUUUUCCGCAUGGAAGAAAGUUGAAAGGCGCUUUUGCGUCACUGAUGGAUGGACCCGCGGUGCAUUAGCUAGUUGGUGAGGUAACGGCUCACCAAGGCAACGAUGCAUGGCCGACCUGAGAGGGUGAUCGGCCACACUGGGACUGAGACACGGCCCAGACUCCUACGGGAGGUAGCAGUAGGGAAUCUUCGGCAAUGGACGAAAGUCUGACCGAGCAACGCCGCGUGAGUGAAGAAGGUUUUCGGAUCGUAAAACUCUGUUGUUAGAGAAGAACAAGGAUGAGAGUAAAACGUUCAUCCCUUGACGGUAUCUAACCAGAAAGCCACGGCUAACUACGUGCCAGCAGCCGCCGUAA
rnacentral:rRNA from 1 species